CCUACGGGUGGCAGCAGUGGGGAAUAUUGGACAAUGGGGGCAACCCUGAUCCAGCCAUGCCGCGUGUGUGAAGAAGGCCCUCGGGUUGUAAAGCACUUUCAGUGAGGAAGAACGCCUGGUGGUUAAUACCCAUCAGGAAAGACAUCACUCACAGAAGAAGCACCGGCUAACUCCGUGCCAGCAGCCGCGGUAAUACGGAGGGUGCGAGCGUUAAUCGGAAUUACUGGGCGUAAAGCGCGCGUAGGUGGCUUGAUAAGCCGGUUGUGAAAGCCCCGGGCUCAACCUGGGAACGGCAUCCGGAACUGUCAAGCUAGAGUGCAGGAGAGGAAAGUAGAAUUCCCGGUAUAGCGGUGAAAUGCGUAGAGAUCGGGAGGAAUACCAGUGGCGAAGGCGGCCUUCUGGACUGACACUGACACUGAGGUGCGAAAGCGUGGGUAGCAAACAGGAUUAGAUACCCCUGUAGUC
rnacentral:rRNA from 1 species